GCUCUGUUGGAUUCCGGCGCACAGGGCACUAUUAUGUCGAGCAACCUUGCAGUACGGUUGGGCAAUCCUAUUUACAAGUCUUCUUAUUCUAUUCGUGGAGUGGGCAAUGUUAGAAUUUCGGACGUGAUCGGUCACACUUCAUUUAUUUUCUCAUCGAAUCCCAACCCUCGCUUACAGUUUAGAGUCUCAGCUUUGGUGAUGCCUGAGGUGAUAGGUCGUCACCCUCCGGUGAAGGUAAACAGUUACAUACGGUCAUUGACUUCAGACUUACGGCUAGCGGACCCCAAGUUUGACACCCCGGGGCCAGUAGACGUACUACUUGGGGCGGAUGUACUAGGGAAGCUGCUCCUGACUGGGAAGCGCGUUCUUCAUGCGGAGGGUUUGGUUGCAAUGGACACAAAAUUAGGGCAUGUAUUGUUGGGUCCUGCGUUCCGGCCGGUCGCUGCGAGGAAAUCGGACAAUUUUCUGGUCGGGUCUACGCUUUCGGAAGUAGUCCAACGGUUUUGGGAACUAGAAGAACCUCCUACAGCUUAUCGAGUUAACCCGGAUGAGGAGGAAUGUGAGCUGUUUUACCAGAAUAAUACGGGUCGUCUCUAUUCGGGCCGGUUCUUGUUAAGACUUCCUUUUCGGGCGAAUCGCCCACUGCUAGGCAGUUCGAGGAAGGCAGCAGAGACCAGACUUUUGUCAAUGGAGAGACGCAUGAGGCGCGACGCGGUGUUCCGGCAGAAAUAUGUAGAGUUUAUGCGGGAGUAUGAAUCUUUAGGUCACAUGUCGGUUUCCAAGGUAGAUUGGAGUGCUACGGAGCACUGUUUCCUGCCUCAUCAUGCGGUUUUGAAAACUCCUAACGGUAAAAUUAGGGUCGUGUUUGACGGUUCGGUCACGACCUCCUCCGGCGUCUCCUUAAAUCAGUGUCUCCAUUCGGGUCCAAAGCUGAACCGGGACAUUUCAGACAUACUGACGAGCUUCCGCAGGCACCAGAUCGUUUUCGUGGCAGACAUCCGUAUGAUGUUCAGGCAAACGGUGAUUCAUCCGGAGGAUAGGCGGUAUCAACUCAUUCUCUGGCGUGAAAGCUCAGAUGAGCCCAUAAAAAUUUAUGAACUGAACACGAACACUUACGGGUUGCGGUCGAGUCCAUAUUUAGCGGUUCGUUCUUUGCGGGAGUUGGCAGUGAGGGAACGGUUGCACUACCCUCGUGCUGCGGACAUUUUGGAACGGGACCUAUAUGUCGAUGACGUAUGUACGGGCGCCGACAGUGUCGAAGAGGCCUUAUCACGCAAGGAUGAACUGAUCCGCCUUUUGAGCAGGGGCGGGUACGAGUUGAGAAAAUGGCUGUCUAACUGUCCUGAGUUGUUGACUGGUUUGCCAACGGAGUAUCAACAGGAUCCCCAUCUUUUCGAGAAUGUCGAUAACCCUAACAUGCUGUCGGUCCUAGGGAUUCAAUAUCGUCCGAUUCAAGACGAAUUUACCUAUCGGGUGGAGUUGGAAAAUCCAAAGGUAUGGUCUAAACGAACGGUGCUUUCCACAAUUGCUCGAACCUUCGAUCCAAACGGUUGGAUCGCUCCUGUCACUUUUCUCUUAAAGUGCUUCAUGCAGCGACUGUGGUCUGCUAACCUGUCAUGGGACGAGGGGAUUGCUGGUGACCUAUUGAAGGAUUGGUUGAACUUUUUCUCGUCUCUUCCUGAUAUUAACCACGUGUCAAUACCUCGGAAGCUGGUUCCUGCGGGCAAAUACAAGGCGUCUCUCCACGGGUUUUCGGAUGCCUCGGAACGCGGAUUCGCAGCUGCGGUAUACUUGCGAACGGUUUCUUCAACUGGAAGGGUUGAUAUACGGUUGGUGUUAGCUAAGAGUAAGGUCGCUCCGCUUCGGACACGCAUGACGAUUCCGAAGCUCGAGUUGUCUGGUGCCGCUCUGUUGACUAGGUUGUUAAACCAUACAGCUACUAGUUUACGGUCGGUUAUUGAUUUAGAAAACACUGUCUAUGCUUGGACAGACAGCCAGAUAGUGUUGUGCUGGUUGAAGGCUUCGGUUCAUACACUUGAAGUUUUCGUGGCCAACCGUGUCUCCCAGAUUCAAGGUUCUGAGGUCCCUCUAACAUGGAGACACGUGCCUGGUGAGCUCAAUCCGGCGGACUGCGCUUCUCGGGGAUGCUUAGCAUCGGAAAUAGUUGAUCAUCAGUUAUGGUGGGGUCCCCAGUGGCUCACCAAGAAAGCUUCUCAGUGGCCUCCCUCUCGCAUAGAAGUUCCUCCAGGUCUCGUGGCUGCACCGGCGCAGUUCGAGGAUCGAGGAGUGAUUCAGGGGUUGGAUUUGGAUCUGCUCAUCAACCGUUAUAGCUCCUUGGACAAGCUGGUUAAGGUUACCGCCUGGAUUUUGAGGUUUAUUCGGAAUUGUCGUUUGCCGGUGUCUCAACGCAAUAUGACACCUGUUGUGUGUCCCAUCGAGCGGAAGAAGGCGCUGCUGAAAUUAAUUGAAGUUGUGCAAGCCACCAGUUUUCAUUCAGAAUUGAAGGCGCUAAGGACUGAGCGCCCUAAGCUUCGUGGAGCUAUCGCUCGUCUUAGCCCCUUUGUAGACGGCCAGGGGCUGAUUCGAGUGGGAGGUAGAUUAAGUAACUCCAAUUUACCUUAUUCGGCGCGCCAUCCUCUUUUACUUCCCAAGAAGAGCCAGUUAGUUGACCUGUUGGUGAUGGAUCGCCACAUCGCAAAUUCGCAUUCCGGUUGCAAUGCGCUGCUGGCAUCCCUCCAGAGGGAAUUUUGGAUUCUGUCAGGGCGUCGUACGGUUCGGAGCGUCCUUUUCCGGUGUUUACCCUGUUAUCGGCUUAAGGCGUCUACGAUGCAGCCUCAGAUGGGAGAUCUGCCUCCAGACAGAGUGAAGAAGAUGAGGCCGUUUUCUGGAGUUGGUACGGACUUCGCUGGGCCCUUCAUGAUCAAGGCUUCACGUUUGCGGAAUGUUAGGUUAAUUAAGGCUUAUCUGUGCGUCUUUGUCUGCCUUUCAACCAAAGCUGUACAUCUUGAAGUUGUUGCCGACCUUACAACUGAAGCCUUUAUUGCGAGCUUGGAUAGAUUUGUGUCCCGUCGAGGCUUACCCGAAUUGAUACGCUCCGAUAACGGAACGAAUUUUGUAGGUGCGGACCGUUACUUGCGGGAUGUAGUAAAUUUCUUGAACAAUAACCAGGUGGAUAUUGAAACGGCCCUCUCUCGUCGCGGUAUUCGGUGGACCUUCAGUCCUCCAGGAUGCCCCCACUGGGGUGGAAUUUUUGAGGCAGUAGUAAAAUCGGCUAAGACUCACUUGAUGCGCGUGAUAGGGCAAACCUCGCUCACCUUUGAGGAGUUAACUACGGUAUUUUGUAAAAUUGAAGCGGUACUUAAUUCGCGGCCGUUGUGCCCGCUCAGUUCAGACCCGAAUGACUUGGAGUCGUUAACUCCAGGCCAUUUCUUGAUAGGACAGCCACUCAAUGCGUUGCCGGAGUAUCCCCUCUCGGAUAUCAAGCCUGGACGGUUGAGGCGAUACCAGAUGUUGCAGCAGAUGUCCCAAGAUUUUUGGAAACGUUGGUCCCUUGAGUAUUUACAUCUGCUCCAGCAGCGCUUUAAGUGGACGGAUAGAACCAGUCCCCCUCACGUCGGUGACCUUGUGUUGGUUAAGGAUGCUAACCUGCCGCCACUGCGUUGGCGUAGGGGGCGCAUUGUUAAUCUGUUUCCCGGUAAGGAUGGGACCCCUCGGUCUGCAGAGGUUCUGGUCGGGGACUCGGUUCUCAAACGAGCGGUCACAACGUUGUCCCGGCUGCCAGUUGAUUAGGGACAGGUAGGGGACCUGUCCGGGCGGGUGACUGUUCGAAACCAAUCCGUUAGUUUUUGAAUUCUUACCACGGCAACACGGGUCGCGAUUUGACGGUGCCGUCGCGAUUUGACAUCUGUCACUUUGUCUUGCUUCUCGAACGGGACGGUACCUGUAUAUUGACGGUCUACGCUAAAGUUGUGUAUCAUCGCUAAUCCUUAUCCAUUCCUGCCCCAUACCCUUCUCCCUAAGUGAUACGGCGUGAGAAGACGAAAGCAUCGGUUCCGGUGUCCAGCAGUGUCGCUCCCUCAGACGCACGUGCACCAGAGCGCUCGGUACCUGCACAGUACUAUGCAAGAGUCCAACAGAACAGCCUCCGGCGCCUCCGCCAUCUAACUCAGGGAAAGAUGCCGCUGCCUCAGG